UUUUACAUAAAGUAAAAGACUUAUAGCGGAUAACCACCGCGUAGCCAGGAGAACUGGCAUUGGACUCCUAUAAAGGAGAAAACAAAUG
rnacentral:ncRNA from 1 species